CCUACGGGUGGCUGCAGUGAGGAAUAUUGGUCAAUGGCCGGAAGGCUGAACCAGCCAAGCCGCGUGAAGGACGAAGGUGCCAAGCAUUGUAAACUUCUUUUGUCAAGGGACAAAAUCAGGCGCGGGAGCCGGACCGAGGGUACUUGAAGAAAAAGCAUCGGCUAACUCCGUGCCCGCAGCCGCGGUAAUACGGAGGAUGCGAGCGUUAUCCGGAUUUAUUGGGUUUAAAGGGUGAGUAGGCGGGCUGUUAAGUCAGCGGUAAAACCCCGGGGCUCACCCCCGGCGAGCCGUUGAAACUGGCUGUCUUGAGAUGUCUAGAGGUCUGCGGAAUGCGCCGUGUAGCGGU
rnacentral:rRNA from 1 species